GUAACCCACCCUCACCUGAGACUGUCAGCCAGCCGCAAUCCCAGUCCAGCUUCUCCCGAUGAUGGAGUGAAGGGCUCCUAUCCAGAAAGGGAACCCUGAUUCCUGUGUGACUUUUCUCUUCACGGGACAUCAUAUCUGAUGGAGAAACGACUUAAGGGAGGAGCGGUUUACUUGGGCUCAUAGUUCAGAGACAUCAGCUCCGGUGGCAGGGCAGGCUCUGGGCCCAUGGUGGUAGAAGCUUGCAGCUGACCAGCUCACAGCUCAGUGGACCAGGAAGCAGAGAACUCAGGCUGUGGGGUGGGAGCAGUCUGUAACCCUGAGAGCCCGUCCCUGAGUGACCCAUUCCCUCCCAGCAGGUUCCACCUCCUAAGCUUCGAAAACCUCCCAGAAUGGUUCCACCAGCUGGUAACCGGGUGUUCAAACACAUGAGGCAAUGGGGGCAUUUGGGCUUCAAACCCUAACGGCAAGUGAAGCCGCUGUCCCUCACGUGCCUGGGCUCGUGCUUUGAGACAGCGUGAGCGCAUUUUUCACUCAGUGUGGCUCAGUGGUUAGGGCACUGGCUUCCGCUGACUCUCACCAAGGCCACCCUGGUCGUCUUAUAAAGCACCGCGCACUGCCCUCUCGAGAGCUCCACCCCCCAGCAUGGCCAGUCACCUUCUGAGGACAAGGAGUUUCAACCAUUUUCUUCACUGGUGUUUUCUAAGUGCCUAGAAAUACGACACGCACAAAGAAGGUGACUGGAAGAAUAUUUACUAUGUUGCUGGGAAGAAUGAAGGAAUGCUUGUACCAUAUUUCUGCAGGGGUAUCCAAUGGAUGAUUCUGGCAAGGAGAGAAAUACAAGGCUUUAUGCAUCUUUUCUGUUCAUCUCUAUGGACUUUGGAUGUGGAUUUGUUAGUGACUAAGCAAAACACACACCUUCCGGGACAGACUCCUGUGUCAAUGAGCCUCCAAAAUAUCUUUUCCUUAGGGCUGGAGAGAUGGCUCAGCCAUUAAGGUGCUUGCUUGCAAUGCCCAGUGACCCAGGUUUGAUUACCCAGUACCCAUCUAGAGCCAGAUACAU